CACGUAGGGGGCGAGCGUUGUCCGGAUUUAUUGGGCGUAAAGGGCGCGUAGGCGGCUUUAUAAGUCGGGGGUGAAAGCCUGUGGCUCAACCACAGAAUUGCCUUCGAUACUGUAGAGCUUGAGACCGGAAGAGGUAAGUGGAACUGCGAGUGUAGAGGUGAAAUUCGUAGAUAUUCGCAAGAACACCAGUGGCGAAGGCGGCUUACUGGUCCGGUUCUGACGCUGAGGCGCGAAAGCGUGGGGAGCAAACAGG
rnacentral:rRNA from 1 species